rnacentral:rRNA from 1 species
UACAGAGGUCCCGAGCGUUGUUCGGAUUUACUGGGCGUAAAGGGCGCGUAGGCGGCCACAACAAGUCACUUGUGAAAUCUCCGGGCUUAACCCGGUAGCGGCCAAGUGAUACUGUUGGGCUAGAGUGCGGAAGGGGCAACUGGAAUUCUCGGUGUAGCGGUGAAAUGCGUAGAUAUCGAGAGGAACACCUGCGGCGAAGGCGGGUUGCUGGGCCGACACUGACGCUGAGGCGCGAAAGCUAGGGGAGCGAACGGG